UGAACAUGAAGAUAGUGAUACCAGAGGCAUGGAGCAUAAAUAAAAGAUCUUGAAAAUGAGAGAAGAAAGAUUGAAGAAGUAUGAAGGUGCUUAGGACGUUUUAGCAUGGAUAAAUAAGAGCUGUAAGCUGGAGGGGAAAAGGAAUUUUGAAAAAGAGAGCCUCUCCAAGGUUUUCACAGAGCAGGAAAAUAUUGAUAUCAGGGGUAAAGUGAAGACAAAGAUGCAGUUUGGCACAAUGCCAAGGAUCUAGCUGGAGUUAAAUCUCUUCCUGUUCUUGGUAAAGUAAUAGAUAGUGGAGCUGUUGUUUUGACUCCUCAAAGAUCAAAGCAUAUUUGCCAAUGAUGAUAUUAAUGAAAAGGCUGAUGUGCUAUAAAAUGUAGAGGUUAGAGAGCAAAAGCAGAGAGCAAAGGCUUACAAGUUACAAGGUUGCAAAAAUGGAUAGGAUAUAUGAGGACAAGUUCAGUAACGAGGAUGGUUCCCGAAAGAAAUGCUUCCAAGUAUGAUGAUCCUGUUGAAGAUGAGGGUGUGACCUUGAAUGAAAGUGGACACUUUAGUGGCAAAGCAGAGAAGAAGAUAGAAAAGCUCCUUAAAAGGAUAAAGGGAGCAUUUGAAAACAAUCACUC